rnacentral:tRNA from 1 species
GGGUGGUUAGCUCAGUUGGUAGAGCAUCGCCCUUACAAGGCGAGGGUCACAGGUUCGAAUCCUGUACCACCCACCA